rnacentral:rRNA from 1 species
GAUGAACGCUGGCGGCGUGCCUAAAUACAUGCAAGUCGAGCGGGAGAAUCAUCCUUCGGGAUGAGGAUCCAGCGGCGAACGGGUGAGUAAACACGUGGGCAACCUGCCCGCAAGACCGGGAUAACUCCGGGAAACCGGGGCUAAUACCGGAUAGUCCUUUUCCCCGCAUGGGGAAAAGGGGAAAGGCGGCUUCGGCUGUCACUUGCGGAUGGGCCCGCGGCGCAUUAGCUGGUUGGUGAGGUAACGGCUCACCAAGGCGACGAUGCGUAGCCGACCUGAGAGGGUGAUCGGCCACACUGGGACUGAGACACGGCCCAGACUCCUACGGGAGGCAGCAGUAGGGAAUUUUCCGCAAUGGGCGAAAGCCUGACGGAGCAACGCCGCGUGAGUGAGGACGGCCUUCGGGUUGUAAAACUCUGUUCUUGAGGAAGAAUUCCUUCCAGGCGAACAGCCUGGAAGGUUGACGGUACUCAAGGAGAAAGCCCCGGCUAACUACGUGCCAGCAGCCGCGGUAAUACGUAGGGGGCGAGCGUUAUCCGGAAUUAUUGGGCGUAAAGCGCGCGCAGGCGGCUGAUUAAGUCAGGUGUGAAAGGCUGCGGCUCAACCGCAGAGCGGCACCUGAAACUGGUCAGCUUGAGUGCAGGAGAGGGGAGCGGAAUUCCCGGUGUAGCGGUGGAAUGCGUAGAGAUCGGGAGGAACACCAGUGGCGAAGGCGGCUCUCUGGCCUGUAACUGACGCGAGCC